CGCGUGGGAAUCUACCCUUAGGUGCGGAAUAACUCAGAGAAAUUAGAGCUAAUACCGCAUAAUGACUCCGGUCCAAAGAUUUAUCGCCUAAGGAUGAGCCCGCGUAAGAUUAGCUAGUUGGUGAGGUAAAGCUCACCAAGGCGACGAUCUUUAGCUGGUCUGAGAGGACGACCAGCCACACUGGGACUGAGACACGGCCCAGACUCCUACGGGAGGCAGCAGUGGGGAAUAUUGGACAAUGGGCGCAAGCCUGAUCCAGCCAUGCCGCGUGAGUGAUGAAGGCCUUAGGGUCGUAAAGCU
rnacentral:rRNA from 1 species